rnacentral:lncRNA from 1 species
GCGCAUGGUCCGUGCGAGCACAUGUGCGUGUUUGUGGGCCGUGUGGAUCGGGCCACAUUUUAUAGUCUCUGUGGGUUGGGCUGCAUUUCGGUGCACGUGUGAGCCUCCUUACUCAGGCAUGGGCUUUCUUACACUUCUUUAAGCCCAUUAAUCAUACUUAGGCCUUAAGUCUUCUAGCUUGGACAAUCUUGGUCCAUCUCUUGGAAUAAUCCCAAUUAGGAAAGCGUUGAGGGAUGAAAUUACUUUCCUAUUCUGGGGGUCCCUGAUUGAUAGAAGACUGCAUCUUUGAAACUAAUUCUAAACUGUCUAGGGUCACAUCAAACUUUCUCUAAAAACGUGUCCUGAGGCUUGAAAACUUCAUAUAGUCUGAACCCUCAUACAUUGUAAGCCUCAUGUAAUAAGCAAUGCCCUAGGAGCAUGUGCUCUGAUACCAAUUGUGAAAACUCGUACCCUAGGUGAGGCAGGGUGUUAUUCACAUAGUUUCU